AGAUGGAUUGAUCUCAGUUCAUCUUCUAAGUGAUUCCACUGAAUUCCUUAAGGGCCAAUUUCAGUAAAGUAGAUGGAGCAAACUUUACCGAAGCACCAAUGUUGAUCUUUUCUGGUUUGAUCUCAUAAGGUCUGCAUGACCACCUUGUAAUUCGCGAUCAGGAGACGUGCUGUUGGUCCAACUAGUUUUCCUGGAACGCGUGUCCUUCAAAUCUGAUACUAUUUUGUGGUUAUGCUCGGCAUUUGGACAUGGCAUUGUUUUUCUUACCCUAGGACAUGGCAUUGUUUGUUCUUACAUUACUGAACUCAUAUAUCUACAAGUUGAAGUUGAGUGCCCGUGCGUUGCCACGGAAUAAAAGAAACAUUGUGAUUAUUAUUUUAAUUUUGAAAUAAUAUUGAAUACCAUUUAA